rnacentral:rRNA from 1 species
AUUGAACGCUGGCGGCAGGCUUAACACAUGCAAGUCGAGCGGAGCGGCGGACGGGUGAGUAAUGCCUAGGAAUCUGCCUGGUCGUGGUGGCUGACGUCCGGGAACGGGAGCUGAUACCGAAUACUAUCAGAUGAGCCUAGGGGGGGUUGGCUAGUUGGUGGGGUAAAGGCCUACCAAGGCGACGCUCCGUAACCGGUCUGAGAGGAUGAUCAGUCACACUGGAACUGAAACACGGUGCAGACUCCUACGGGAGGCAGCAGUGGGGAAUAAUGGACAAUGGGCGAAAGCCUGAUCCAGCCAUGCCGCGUGUGUGAAGAAGGUCUUCGGAUUUUAAAGCACUUUAAGUUGGGAGGCGUUACCAACAGAAUAAGCACCGGCUAACUUCGUGCCAGCAGCCGCGGUAAUAC